rnacentral:rRNA from 1 species
GCCAGCAGCCAUAUCACCCUGCAACUCACAACUGGCACCCCCCUGAAGCUAAGCAGGUGUGAGCCUGGGUGGUACCUGGCAAGGAGACCUCUUGGGAAAACCUAAGGUUGCUGCAGAAA